UACGUAGGGUCCGAGCGUUGUCCGGAAUUAUUGGGCGUAAAGAGCUCGUAGGCGGUUUGUCGCGUCUGCUGUGAAAUCCCGAGGCUCAACCUCGGGCCUGCAGUGGGUACGGGCAGACUGGAGUGCGGUAGGGGAGAAUGGAAUUCCUGGUGUAGCGGUGGAAUGCGCAGAUAUCAGGAAGAACACCUAUGGCGAAGGCAGCUCUCUGGGACGGUACUGACGCUGAGACGCGAAAGCGUGGGGAGCGAACAGG
rnacentral:rRNA from 1 species